UCGUCAAUUGAUGGUGAUUAUGAUAACAUAAGGGAAAAAAAUGAUAUUACCUUAUUAUAAGUGUUGUCCAAAACUGGUGCCAGAAGACUCGGUAAGACCAGAGACGCGAACGUUAGUCAUCUUAAUCAGGCGUAAAGGGUUUGUAGGCUGCUUUAAAAGUUUAAUUCUUUUUAAUAGCUCUUUUACCGUAAUACAAUAUUAUUUAAUUGAACUAAUAUUUAAUUAAUCAAAUAUAGUAUAUAAAAUUUAUAAAAUAAUAAAUGAUAUUAUAUUAAUAUCCGUGUAUCAGUUAAGAAAUAAAUGAAUUAAAGCUAGGAUCAAAUUGAGGAUAACCCAAAUAAUACUUAGAGUAGGGCUUAUAUCCGCAGAUACUAAGGGGAAUACUAAAGGUGAAAGCUUUUUAUCUACUAUUGAUUGACGCUGAGAAACGAAGGUGAGAAUAGGAAAUAGGAUUAGAUACCCAGAUACCUCUCACUGUCAACGAUGAAUGGUGGUUAUUAGUUUUAAUAUAAACUGGUAACGAUGUUAACACGAUAACCAUUCCGCCUUGCGAGUACGGUUGCAAAACUGAAACCAAAAAAA
rnacentral:rRNA from 1 species